GGGCGAUUAGCUCAGUUGGUAGAGCAUCUCCUUUACACGGAGCAGUUGACUUUUAAUCAAUUGGUCGCAGGUUCGAAUCCUGCACGACCCACCA
rnacentral:tRNA from 1 species